rnacentral:rRNA from 1 species
AGUGAACGCUGGCGGUAGGCCUAACACAUGCAAGUCGAACGGCAGCACAGUAAGAGCUUGCUCUUACGGGUGGCGAGUGGCGGACGGGUGAGGAAUACAUCGGAAUCUACUUUUUCGUGGGGGAUAACGUAGGGAAACUUACGCUAAUACCGCAUACGACCUACGGGUGAAAGCAGGGGAUCUUCGGACCUUGCGCGAUUGAAUGAGCCGAUGUCGGAUUAGCUAGUUGGCGGGGUAAAGGCCCACCAAGGCGACGAUCCGUAGCUGGUCUGAGAGGAUGAUCAGCCACACUUGAACUGAGACACGGUCCAGACUCCUACGGGAGGCAGCAGUGGGGAAUAUUGGACAAUGGGCGCAAGCCUGAUCCAGCCAUACCGCGUGGGUGAAGAAGGCCUUCGGGUUGUAAAGCCCUUUUGUUGGGAAAGAAAAGCAGCAGGUUAAUACCCCGCUGUUCUGACGGUACCCAAAGAAUAAGCACCGGCUAACUUCGU